CUUUCCUGGAAUGUUUUUUAUUUUUUGCGAACACCCUGCAGUUCAGACCAUUUUCUUUCUCAAUGUUUAAAUCACUUUAAAAAUACCAGGCAUAUUAUAAUGAUUUGUCCACAUACGUCAGCUAAUACAAUGGGAGGUUUGAGGUUUCCUGCUUUUCUCUUGGUGCUCUUAUACACUUCUGUGGUCCAGAUAGAUGGAAAAGUGCUAGAAAUGGGCAUGUUUCCUGAAGUUGCUGAUUACUCAUUCCAGAAAUGUCGGAAAGAAAUGUUGCAAAUGGUCACAAAACCUGGAGGUCUCCUGGACACAGAGCUUAACAACAAUGUAGAUUUUAAAACUAUGUAGCAAAGUAAUCCAACAUGCAAGACGGCCAUUCCAGAUAUUACACCGAAGCACAUGGCUGCACUGCAGAGCUAUGCAGGAGCUAGUCCUACAUUUCGUAGAAACUUCAAGGAGUUGCUUCAGAAAAGUAACGGCAGUUCAACUUAUCAAGAUGAGUUUCCUUUCAAAUCUCUUUUUUUCCUGCUGACAGAUGCAAUGCAACUCAUAGGUAAAAACAAGUGUCGUACAGUGUACUCUGGCACAGUAAAAGAAUAUGGCACCAGUGUUGGGGAGAAAGUACAUUUUAAGAGUUUUUUUUCCAGCAAAACUGCAGUAUACUGAAGCAACUGAAAUUACAUCUCUCAGUGAUGACAUUGGGACUGUUUUCAACAUCACUUCCUGUUUUCCCUUACGAAAAAAGAAGUUUAUUGAAGUGUGCUAUUAGUAUACUUCUUUUAAAAUAAAAAAAAGGAUAGUAUACUUUCAGUCUACUUUUUAUGUACUUCUCAGAAAUGUGCUUUAUAUACUUAUCAGAAAUAUACUUAAAAUUACAUUUAAGUAUACUUGAUUUAUACUUAGAAAAAGUAUUUGAGCUAUACUUGUGCUCUGAGAAUCUGUUUUCAUUGUUAUACAUGAGAGAUGCUAUUACACAUCUUCUGUACAAAAUUUCCAAAACACAAGCGAAGAAACGAAAACAGAUGCUUCCACACUGUAAAAAAUGCAAAUACAUAUUUUCCAUUUUACGAAACAUUUUGUCUCAAACACUAAAAAAAUGCUGUUUUUUUAAAACUAAAAACCCUUGUCAGACCAAUAAAAUUACACUAAUGUUGUCCCAACUAGUCAAACACAGUUGUCUGAGCAAAGAAUUUCAUAUUGUUGAAAUUUUAAGGCUUUGUAAGUUCCCAGCAUGCAUUGCAGCAUGAAUAAAUUAUCCUGUUACUGUUAUAGGAUUAUUGUUUUGCUGUUUGCUGACUUCAUUUAAACAUUUUUUGUUGUUGUUUUGUCGUUACUGUUAGUUAUUUGUUGUACUGUGACGUACAGAUCUAAUCUUUUUAAUAUUUGGCUGAUUGCCACCGUUCUUGAGGUUUGUGUAUCUAGCUUUGAGGCCUAGAUACUUUCAACCAAUUAUGUUAAUUCCCUGGAUAUCUUAAUUUUGUAAAAUGCUUUACAAACAAAGACAAUGUUGUCUACAUAUUACACUAAGUUAUUCAUAAUGUUUAUUAUGUUCAGAUAUUCAUAUAACAAAAUAUAUACAAAUUAAUACCUAAAUAGGGACAUAGUAGUAUACUUAAAGUAUGAUAUAAAGUUCACUUAAAGAAAACUUACGAGUAUACUUAAAGUAUAAAACUACUAAUCUUGUAGUUUACUGGGACUUUACUUGAAAGUGUACUAAAAAUGCAUAAAGAAGUAUUUAAUUAGUAAACUAUCAGUAUACCUAUUAGUUCACUUUUAGUAUACUUGCAGUACAAACUGAAAACAUAGAUGUAAACUAGUUGUGUACUCAAAGUUUACUACUGUUAUACUUAAAGUAUACUUAAAAGUAUACUUUUAUAUACUAGAAAGUGGGCCAAUUUAGUCCCAAGGAGUAUAAAAGUAGUAAACUGAAAAGUAUACUACUAGUAUGCUGAUAUUUGUAUACUUACUACAUAAAGUAUACUUAAAAAUAUACUUGAACUUUACUCAAGUAUACUUAAUAAAAUAAACUUGAAGUAUACUUCUUUUUGGUAAGGGUUGUGAUCAACCUUGAAGAUCAUGAAUGUGAUUCCGAGAAAAUUGAGCUGCUAAUAUCGCCCACUGAAGAUUUUACAGUUACGGACAUCAGGAUUAUUAGCAAUAGCAAUGAUGAGUUUAAAGAGAUCACCUUAAAACAUUUUAGCAGUCAGAGUUCUUCGAACUGCACUGGUCUUGCCAGGUAAGAGAUAGAGAGAGCAGUAAAGAUUUGUUUGAUUGUAUAAAAAAAUAUUAAUAUGUGA